rnacentral:sRNA from 1 species
ACAGCCUGCUGGGAAGCUGCAGAUGGGCAGGGUCUGCAGCUGCGCAGAGAAUGAAAUGGAUGGUCCAACACAGACAAGGCCGACCACUCCACCGGAUGAAAGCCUUGUCAGAGCAAAUCUGUAGGUAACUAUGUUUUUUAUUGGCCUAUUAUUUGUAAAGAAUUUUAGGAAACAAAGGGAAUUGCUACAUAUUGUUUUUUUUUUAAUUUAAUCGUUCUUAAAGAAUAAAUGUCUGGCCCUUUUAAGAGAUCUGUUUGAUGCAUGUCCAAAAGCUAGGACCUGUUUGGGUUUUGGUGUGUAUCUCGCUAUUUUUGCAUGUUUCUUUUAUGCAAAUUAUUAAACUAAUAGUAUUCCUAUAAAAGCUACAUUAUAUUUAUUUAUUUAGGUUUCUAAAGUAGGUUAUUUAAAUUAAAUUAUUCCUUGAGAAGUUCAUUUGUAUAUAUAAUGUUUUUAGAUUAUGUUUAACCCUAAACCUUCCAAGUUCCUCCCUGCCCCCACUGUGCCCUUCCCAAUUCUCUUCCUGCCCCCAAAUAAAGUACUGAAUCCUGUUAGUGUUCCUUGAUGUACAUUCUUGAGUCAUGAAAAGCUACACCUAACCGCAGCCCUGAAGAAAAGUUACAUUAUUUUGCCUAGCAGCCAUCAGUGGUCAGUCUGAGAGUCAGACAGCACACAAUCUCAGAUGUGGUUAUAGCCUUGAAUCGUUAGCUUUGUGUGUUUGGCUUAGAUUUGUGGCAGAAACCACGAAAUGGGGCUAUUUGGAGUGGCAUUAAGAGGAGUUUACCAGAACACAGAUUACCAGUUCCUUUUCAUUGGAAAGAGAAUUCUUUUCACAUCAACUAUAUUCAAGUCUACAACAGGUUAAACGUGACCAUGUUUAUGAUCAACUUCAAUAGAGCAUGAAUAGUCUACCUCAUUUUGUUUGAUUAUACAUAGCCUCUUUAUCAGUGAGAAAUAUGAGUUCAUUGAUUUGAGAAAUCAAUAUAAAAAUUGUAUGCAGGGUGGUUUCAAAAUCAUACUGAGGAAGCAACAUUUCUAAUUGCAGUUUUCUCAGACAACCCUUUUGUCAUUUGGGGAGGGAAUGUCCAGUUAUUUUUUAAGCUACCUGGGUAAGAUUCCUUUCCUCACUACUUUCAGAAAUCAGGCUUUUUACGUACAUUCAAAAAGGAGGUAUGCUGUUUUGUCCAUAUUACUUCACAGGGUAACCCAACUUACUGUUUACUGUGUACAAAGUGUAGGAUUAAUCUUUAUGCUAAAAAAUGUAUACAAUUUUAAGACAAGACCAUGGAAGUGCUUUAGUGCAUUACAGUAAUUAUCUUCAUCUUACCCAUGAAACCUUUCAUGACCCAAGUGACCUUGUAGUUAUUAAUAAUUAUAUUGGUUUAUUACUCCUGCACAACACCCUUUUCACAGUGUUACAUACACGAGGUUUCGAUUUUUUUCUACCCCAUCUUUUUAUUUAGUUCUGUGCCUCUUGUAUAAUAAAGUACAUUUCGUGGCAGUUAGGCAUGUAGUUGCCUAAGGAUGGAAAGUAUUGAGAAAUUAUGAUAUUCUAAUAAGAUAUCCCUGUAGGUACUGUGGAGAAAGGUGUACUAAAAUUCUCACGUUAAUUAAGACUGUUUUCCCUUCCUUUUUAGUUGUAAUAUAUUUUAUAUAUGCUAGUAAACACAUCUAUAUUCUAUACUCAGGGAUCACACUUUAUUCCAUUGAUUGAGAUAUAUAUGUUUAUUUCACACUAUAUUUUGUUUCUAGUAUUAUUUUUGUUUGUUUUCUUGCUGCUAAUUUAGAUGUUAAUGUUUUGUUCCAGUUUAUAAUCUCUUGUGGGCAGAAGAUGACAGAACUGACAUACUACAGAGGAAGGUAUGAAGAGUUACAGCGAGCAAGUAUGGGCCAUUCUCUCAGGUAUUUCUGCAGAAGCCACCCAUUAUAAGUGCACCAAACUUAUGUAUCAUUGGUAAGAAUUGCUCACAUGUGUUUAUACAUUAUGGCCGUUUUAAAGCAUAGAUUAACCCAUAAUGUUCAAGAGAGAGCCUCCUUGUUUUUCUUUUAAAUUCAUUUGUUUUGAUUUCGUGCAUAUAAUUAUUUUGUCUAUAUUUUUUUUUGUUGUUGUUGUUUUCUUUUGGGCAACACUUCCAUUCCUGGUAGCUGCUGUGGCCAGAAGAUGAUACUGAAUUUCUGAGAGCUGGAGUCAAGGGUGAUUGUGAGUUACCAUGUGGGUGCUGACAAAGGAACACAAGUCCUUUGGAAGUGCUCCUAAUCCAAGCCAUAUCACGAGACAGAGUCACCUUAGCUUUGUUGUUGUUGUUGAUGAUGAUGUUGUUGUUGUUUUUGACACAGAGUCUCUCACAGGGACCUGAGUUUCACAGAUUUGACUGCCUGACCAGGGACCUCCAGGGACAUGGAAUUCUUGACUUUCCAGUGUUUGCUAGGACUGAAGAUGUGUACCACCAUCACCCCACGGUUGUAAGGAAGCCAUACGUGUCUGACUGAAAAAUGGAUUACUUAGAUAAGGAUGACCCUUGAAGAACAAUCUUGCUUUGGGUUGAGAUACUUCAGUUAUGAAGACCACUUAGCCAGAGGCAGAACUACAGAAGGAAAAAGCAAGAUCUACCUGAGGACCAAGCUAUGUCACUCUUUGGAAUAUACC